UUAGUUUCUAUCUUUACACGCCGUUAUCAGAUCUUAAAGAGUAUUUCUUAGCUCGUAUUACAUUUCCUGAAACCGGUUAUUCUGCAUUGUGAAAUCCAGGGCUUGAUUAUCUUUCCUUUGCUGCUUUUGAGGAAUCACCUGCGACGCACAAGGUUAUACUUGCAGGAAGGGUGAGUAUAGUAUAUCUUUCUCUAUAAAAGUAUCAACUACCUACCUAAACAUUGCUUCUGUUUCUUGAAAAUUUCCAUUGCAUUGUCAUAGUUCUGAAGGAAACCUUAUCUGUCUCUCUUUUAUCUCUUUCAAACCAUGGGAUAUGAUAUUUGCCUAGACAAGAAAGUGAAUUGGUUAGUUAAGUAGGCGUAAAAGUGAGACGAGGCACAUUCCUAACAAUCGUGAGAGUUGGCAUGAUUUUGCAGGAUAUAAUCCCUGUGGAAGCGCUGAAGCUGGAUGAUGUGGAGGUUGGAACGUACUCGCUUCAUUGCUUACCGUUGAGAUUGGUUAAUGCCGAAGGAGCACCGACGAGAUGCAUUCUCAUCAAGUGAUUCUGUUCAUCCUCUUCUCUGGAUUGGUAUACGAAACUG
rnacentral:lncRNA from 1 species